rnacentral:lncRNA from 1 species
AUGCUUAAUAUUUUAAAGAGUAUUCAAUUCUCACCGUCCAUUUUGACAUAAUUUAUUUACUAAGUAAACGAUAUAAAAAAAAACUAAAAUUUUAUUCCUAAGAACUUCAUAUACCCUAUAUCAUAUUUAACGGCAUCGAUCGUUGAUUUGAAUGCCCUAAGAUCGAAAACAACACUAUAGUAUGGGAGCUCCCGUACUAUAGAUAGUAUAGUAGCCUAAUUAUAUAUAUAUAUACUACUUAUAAAAGCGUGAGUUUUGAAUUUUUUUCUCUUUCCCAAAAUUCCGGUCCCUAUUAAUAUAAUUCCAAUUACAUACUAAUAAUAUCAUUCAUUCAACUUUAAUGGAAUAAAUCACAGUCGUACAAUUUUUAUUUUAUUUUUAAAUUAUCAUAAAAUAUAUUAAUUCUUAGUCAUUAGAUCUAAUCUAAUAACUGACGAAUUAAGUAUCUGUCACUUUUUUUACCUAAAUUGCCUCAAAUAAUACGUAUCAAAUUUUCUUUUUUAUAUGCAUGCCAUAUCUUCUAAUAACCGCUGCCCACAUAAUAUCAUAUUUUAUAACAAAUAAUAUUU